rnacentral:rRNA from 1 species
UACGUAGGUGGCGAGCGUUGUCCGGAAUUACUGGGCGUAAAGCGUGCGCAGGCGGUUUGUUAAGUCCGUUGUGAAAGCCCCGAGCUCAACUUGGGAAUUGCAGUGGAUACUGGCAGGCUGGAGUACGGUAGAGGAAGGUGGAAUUCCCGGUGUAGCAGUGAAAUGCGUAGAUAUCGGGAAGGAACACCAGUGGCGAAGGCGGCCUUCUGGACCAGUACUGACGCUCAUGCACGAAAGCGUGGGGAGCAAACAGG